rnacentral:misc_RNA from 1 species
UGACUUCAGUUAUGGUGGGUUUACUUUCAUUUCUUCCUAUACUCAUCCAUUAAUUCCUUUUUUCAUUGUAGAAAAUAGUAAAUAAUAUGCUCGUUUGUUCUUCUUUGCAUAUAUGCUUAUCCAGAAAGCAAUUCCUAUUAUGAAUUUUACUAUCAAAAUAUGCUUCACAUUAUACUUUUUGCAAUAUAUAUCGUGGAACUGGGAAUUAUGUUCCCUACUUUUAUACAAUUGUGAAUCUCAAGUUUUAUGCCGGUAGGUGUUAGGGGGUGUGCGGUUUCGGUCGGUUCGGGGUCUGCCUAGGAACUAAAACUGAAUCAAAAUUUCAGUACGGUUCCUGUUCGAUUUGUCAUUGUUUCAAUUUCGGUUUGGUUCUCAGUUCUUAAAACAAUUUUAUGAAAUAAUUUCCUUAAAAAGUCAUACUUAAAUUAGCAUUUAAGUUUUGAAUUGGGUUAUUAAUGCAUAAUAUAUCUUUUAGCUAUGCCCAAAUUAUAUAAUCUUUAACUAUAAAGUGUAUAUAUAAUUUAUGUUAAAU